UACGUAGGGUGCAAGCGUUGUCCGGAAUUAUUGGGCGUAAAGAGCUCGUAGGCGGUCUGUCGCGUCUGCUGUGAAAACCUAGGGCUUAACUCUGGGCGUGCAGUGGGUACGGGCAGGCUAGAGUGCGGUAGGGGAGACUGGAAUUCCUGGUGUAGCGGUGAAAUGCGCAGAUAUCAGGAGGAACACCGGUGGCGAAGGCGGGUCUCUGGGCCGUUACUGACGCUGAGGAGCGAAAGCGUGGGGAGCGAACAGG
rnacentral:rRNA from 1 species